rnacentral:rRNA from 1 species
GACGAACGCUGGUGGCGUGCUUAACACAUGCAAGUCGAACGAGUGGCGAACGGGUGAGUAACGCAUCGGAACGUACCGAGUAAUGGGGGAUAACUGUCCGAAAGGACAGCUAAUACCGCAUAGUAUUCGAGCGGCCGAUGUCUGAUUAGCUGGUUGGCGGGGUAAAGGCCCACCAAGGCGACGAUCAGUAGCGGGUUUGAGAGGAUGAUCCGCCACACUGGGACUGAGACACGGCCCAGACGCCGACGGGAGGAAGCAGUGGGGAAGUUUGGACAAUGGGCGCAAGCCUGAUCCAGCCAUGCCGCGGGUCUGAAGAAGGCCUUCGGGUUGUAAAGCUCUGUUAAUCGGGACGCGGUACCGGAAUAGAAAGCCACGGCUAACUACGUGCCAGCAGCCGCGGUAAUUC